rnacentral:rRNA from 1 species
GCUUAUAGCCUUAUCACAUUGAAUACGCCAGUUCUUGUUCGAUCACCAAAGUUAAGCAAUACCAAACCUAGUUAGUACUUAAGUGGGUGACUGCUUGGGAAACCUAAGUGCUGUAAGCA